UACAGAGGUCUCAAGCGUUGUUCGGAUUCAUUGGGCGUAAAGGGUGCGUAGGCGGCGGGGCAAGUCGGAUGUGAAAUCUCAGGGCUCAACCCUGAAACUGCAUUCGAUACUGCCUUGCUCGAGGACUGGAGAGGAGAUUGGAAUUCACGGUGUAGCAGUGAAAUGCGUAGAUGUCGUGAGGAAGACCAGUGGCGAAGGCGGAUCUCUGGACAGUUCCUGACGCUGAGGCACGAAGGCCAGGGGAGCAAACGGG
rnacentral:rRNA from 1 species